rnacentral:lncRNA from 10 species
AUGGUAGUGUCUUCCAGAAAUACUCUCACAGGCACACCCAGGACAAAUGUUCUACCAGCUAUCUGGGCGUUGCUUAGGCCAGUCAAGUUGACACAUAAAAUUAACCAACGAAGUAAUUCUAACAAAGAUUUAUAACCAGAUUACACUCUUCUGAAGCUAAAGAACUGCUAAUGGAGAUAGCAGUCAUCAGUUACUGUGAUAGUUAAUGUUGAGUGUCAACUUGAUUGGAUUGAAAAAUGUGAAGUAUUGUUUCUGGGUGUGUCAGUGAGGGUGCUGCCAAAAGAGAUUAACAUUUGAGUUAGUGGACUAAGAAAGGCAGACCCACUCUCAAUCUGGGUGGGCACCAUCUAAUCGGCUGCCAACAUGGCUAGGAUAAAAGCAGGCAGAGGAAUGUGGAAGGACUAAACUGGCAGAAUCUUCUGGCCUCCAUCUUUCCCCUGUGCUGGAUGCUUCCUGCCCUCAAACAUCGGACUCCCAAGUUCUUCAGCUUUUGGACUCUUGGACUUACAUCACUGAUUUGCCAGGGGCUCUGAGGCCUUUGGCCACAGGCUGAAGGCUGCACUAUCAGCUUCCCUACUUUUAAAGUUUUGGGACUUGGAAUUGCUUCCUGGCUCCUCAGCUUGCAGACAGCCUAUUGUGGGACUUCACCUUAUGAUCAUGAAGCUAACUCUACAGCAGAAGCAGUGAGUCACAAGGACAAGAACCAAAUGAUAUGGACGACCCCAUCACAACAACUCAAGCUGGUGUAAACAUUCUCACAUGGCAUGAGAAUGAAACAUAAUGCAGUGCUCCCUCUCCCCAGACCUGGGUCACAUUCCUCUAUGGAUUAAAUGCAAUAGCAGUUAGGUUUUAAUUGCAUUCCUUUGAGCAAUGUCAUUUAUUUUACCUGUUGUUUACCAUUAAAUUUAUGUCCUGGAAGAUGUUGAUAAAACUACAAGAAGGAAAGUAUCCUUUUGCUAUGGUUUGAAUAGCAAACCAAAAUUUGUGUUGAAAUUUUAUCCCAAAUGUGGCAGAGAAUUAGUCCAUUCUCAUGCUGCUAAUAAGGACAUACCCAAGACUCGGUAAUUGAUAAAGGAAAGAUGUUUAAUUGACUCACAGUUCAGCAUGGUUGGGGAGGCCUCAGAAAACUUACAAUCAUGGUGGAAGGGGAACCAAACACGUCCUCCUUCACAUGGUGGCAAGAGAGACAAGUGCAGAGAAAAGGAGGGGAAAGCCCCUUAUAAAAUCAUCAACUCUCAUGAGAACUCACUCACUAUCAUCAGAACAGCAUGGAGGUAACCGCCCCCAUGAUUCAAUUACCUCCCACUAAGUCCUUCCCAUGACCCAUGGGGAUUAUAGGAUACCUGAGAACUUUGACAUGUUUCUGACAUGCCCUGAAAACAGCUGCCACAUUGCCUCAGUGAUUAACAUUCGGCUCCUCAUCACAUAUGCAAAUUUCAGCAGCCGGCUUGAAUUUCUCCCAAGAAAAUGGGUUUUUCUUUUCUGUCACAUAAUCAGGCUGCAAAUUUUCCAAACUUUUAUGCUCUGCUUCCUCUUGAACACCUUGCCACUUAGAAAUUGCUUCUGUCAGAUUCCCUAAAUCAUCUCUCUCAAGUUUAAAGUUUCACAGAUCUCUAGGGCAGGGGCAAAAUGCCGCCAGUCUCUUUGCAUAGCAAGAGUGACAUUUACUCCAGUUUCCAACAAGUUCCUCAUCUCCAUCUGAGACCACCUCAGCCUGGACUUUAUUGCCCAUAUCACUAUCAGCAUUUUAGUCAAAGCCAUUCGACAAGUCUCUAGGAAGUUCCAAACUUUCCCACUUCUUCCUGCCUUCUUAGCCCUCCAAGUCUCUAAGAGUUUCCAAACUUUCCCACAUUUUCCUGUCUUCUGAGCCCUCCAAAUGGUUUCAACCUCUGCCUGUUACCCAGUUCCAAAGUUACUUCCACAUUUUCAGGUACCUUUACAGCAGCGCCCCACUCUCUGUGGUACCAAUUUACUGUAUUAGUCCCUUCUCCCACCUCUAUAAGGACAUAUCUGAGACUGGGUAAUUUAUAAAGGAAGGAGGUUUAAUUGACUCACAGUUCCACAGGGCGGGGGAGGCCUCAAGAAACUUACAAUCAUGGUGGAAGGGGAAGCAAACACGUCCUUCUUCACAUGGCAGCAGGAGAUGUGCAGAGAGAAGUGGGGGAAAGCCCCUUCUAAAACCAUCAGAUCUCAUGAGAUCUCAUCAGAUCUCAUAAGAACUCACUCAAUAUCAUAAGAACAUGAUAUGGAGGUAACCGCUGCCAUGAUUCAAUUACCUCCCAUGGGGUUUUUUCCAUGACAUGCAGGGAUUAUGGGAGCUACAAUUCAGUAUGAGAUUUAGGUGCGGACACAGCCAAAACCAUAUCAGGCAGUAUUGAGAAGUGAAGCAUUUAAGAGGUGAUUGGGUCAUGAGGGCUCUGCCCUCAUGAAUGACUUAGUCUAUUCACAGAUUAAUGAAAUAGUGAGUUAUCAUUGGAAGGGAACUGUGGCUAUAUAGGAAAAGGAAGAAAAACCUAAGCUAGCAUGUUAGCGCACUCAGCCCCCUUGCCACGUGAUGCUCUGCACUGCCUCAGGACUCUGCAGCAUCCCCAUUAGCAAGAAAAUGUGGCAUAUAUACACCACGG